CGCAUCUGUGCAUGCAGCAUAUCAAUAAGCGGAGGAAAAGAAACUAACAAGGAUUCCCCUAGUAACGGCGAGUGAAGCAGGGAAGAGCUCAAAUUUGAAAUCUUAAAGGGUUUCCCUUUACGAAUUGUAGUUUAAAGAAGUGUUUUCUGUUGAGGUUUUGGUAAAAGUUCUUUGGAAUAGGACAUCAUAGAGGGUGAGAAUCCCGUAUUUGACCUUUACUUUCAGCUUUGUGAUACACUUUCAAAGAGUCGGAUUGUUUGGGAAUGCAGUCCAAAAUGGGUGGUAAAUUUCAUCUAAAGCUAAAUAUUGGCGAGAGACCGAUAGCGAACAAGUACCGUGAGGGAAAGAUGAAAAGAACUUUGAAAAGAGAGUUAAACAGUACGUGAAAUUGUCAAAAGGGAAGCGUUUGACACCAGUGUUGUUUUUCUGAAAAUCAAUUAAAGAACUGUUUAUGCUAAGCUGUUUAGACUUUAUCAGCUAUCUGUUUAGUUUUGAGCUUUUCUUUAAUGCACUUUUCAGUUAACAAGUCAACAUCAAUUUCUUUUGCUGUAAAAAAGCUUGAGGAAGGUGGCUUGAGAUUCGUCUUAGGUGUUUAUAGCCUCUUGCCUAUGCAGUCGGAGAGAUUGAGGUCUGCAGCGUAGAUCCUUCGGGGCUAAAUGCAUUUGUGCUAAGUUAUAGCAUUUUAUAGACAACUUGUUGACUAUGAUUUGUCUUGUAGCUUACUCGCUUAUGUUAUUUUACCUACGCUUAGGAUGUUGAGUCAUCACACAUCUCU
rnacentral:rRNA from 1 species